rnacentral:rRNA from 1 species
GUAAGGAAUAUUGGUCAAUGGGCGGAAGCCUGAACCAGCCAUGCCGCGUGCGGGAAGAAGGCCCUCUGGGUUGUAAACCGCUUUUGUCAGGGAAGAAUGGAUGGGAUUUAUCCUGUUAGGGACGGUACCUGAAGAAUAAGCACCGGCUAACUCCGUGCCAGCAGCCGCGGUAAUACGGAGGGUGCAAGCGUUAUCCGGAAUCACUGGGUUUAAAGGGUACGUAGGCGGUUUUAUAAGUCAGGUGUGAAAUACCGCGGCCUAACUGCGGAACUGCACUUGAUACUGUAAAACUUGAGUAGGGUGGAGGUACACGGAAUGCAUCAUGUAGCGGUGAAAUGCUUAGAUAUGAUGUAGAACACCGAUAGCGAAGGCAGUGUGCCAUACCUUAACUGACGCUGAGGUACGAAAGCGUGGGGAGCGAACAGGAUUAGAAACCCUAGUAGUCC